CCUACGGGUGGCUGCAGUGGGGAAUAUUGGGCAAUGGGCGCAAGCCUGACCCAGCAACGCCGCGUGAAGGAAGAAGGCUUUCGGGUUGUAAACUUCUUUUAAGAGGGAAGAGCAGAAGACGGUACCUCUUGAAUAAGCCACGGCUAACUACGUGCCAGCAGCCGCGGUAAUACGGAGGAUGCGAGCGUUAUCCGGAUUUAUUGGGUUUAAAGGGUGCGUAGGCGGGUUAUCAAGUCAGCGGUAAAAUCGUGGAGCUCAACUCCAUCCAGCCGUUGAAACUGAUGAUCUUGAGUGGGCGAGAAGUAUGCGGAAUGCGUGGUGUAGCGGUGAAAUGCAUAGAUAUCACGCAGAACUCCGAUUGCGAAGGCAGCAUACCGGCGCCCGACUGACGCUGAAGCACGAAAGCGUGGGUAUCGAACAGGAUUAGAUACCCCGGUAGUC
rnacentral:rRNA from 1 species